CAAUAGCGUAUAUUUAAGUUGAUGCAGUUAAAAAGCUCGUAGUUGGAUUUCGGGUGGGACGCAGCGGUCUCGCAUUGCGUUUGUACUGCUGCAGCCCUCCUUCUUGCCGGGGGCGGCCUCUCGGACUUCACUGUCUGGGGGUCAGAAUCGGCGAUGUUACUUUGAGUAAAUUAGAGUGUUCAAAGCAAGCUUACGCUCUGAAUAUAAUAGCAUGGGAUAACACGACAGGACUCUGGCCUAUCGUGUUGGUCUAUAGGACCAGAGUAAUGAUUAAGAGGGACAGUCGGGGGCAUUCGUAUUCCGUUGUCAGAGGUGAAAUUCUUGGAUUUACGGAAGACGAACAUCUGCGAAAGCAUUUGCCAAGGAUGUUUUCAUUGA
rnacentral:rRNA from 1 species